rnacentral:rRNA from 1 species
UUGACCUCGGAUCAGGUAGGACUACCCGCUGAACUUAAGCAUAUCAAUAAGCGGAGGAAAAGAAACCAACAGGGAUUGCCCCAGUAACGGCGAGUGAAGCGGCAACAGCUCAAAUUUGAAAUCUGGCCCUCGGGUCCGAGUUGUAAUUUGGAGAGGAUGCUUCUGGCGCGGCGCCGUCCGAGUUCCUUGGAACAGGACGCCAUAGAGGGUGAGAGCCCCGUACGGGCGGACGCCUAGCCUUUGUGAAGCUCCUUCGACGAGUCGAGUAGUUUGGGAAUGCUGCUCAAAAUGGGAGGUAAAUUUCUUCUAAAGCUAAAUACCGGCCAAAGACCGAUAGCGCACAAGUAGAGUGAUCGAAAGAUGAAAAGCACUUUGAAAAGAGGGUUAAAAAGUACGUGAAAUUGUUGAAAGGGAAGCGCCUGUGACCAGACUUGCUGCCCGCGGAUCAUCCGGCGUUCCUCGCCGGUGCACUCCGCGGGCGGCAGGCAAGCAUCGGUUCUCCUAGGGGGUCAAAGGUCGCGGGAACGUGGCUCCUUCGGGAGUGUUAUAGCCCGCGGCGUCAUGCCUCUGGGGGGACCGAGGACCGCGCUUCGGCAAGGAUGCUGGCGUAAUGGUCACCGGCGACCCGUCUUGAAACACGG